UGGGGAAUAUUGCACAAUGGGCGCAAGCCUGAUGCAGCCAUGCCGCGUGUGUGAAGAAGGCCUUCGGGUUGUAAAGCACUUUCAGCGGGGAGGAAGGCGAUAAGGUUAAUAACCUUGUCGAUUGACGUUACCCGCAGAAGAAGCACCGGCUAACUCCGUGCCAGCAGCCGCGGUAAUACGGAGGGUGCAAGCGUUAAUCGGAAUUACUGGGCGUAAAGCGCACGCAGGCGGUCUGUCAAGUCGGAUAUGAAAUCCCCGGGCUUAACCUGGGAACUGCAUUCGAAACUGGCAGGCUAGAGUCUUGUAGAGGGGGGUAGAAUUCCAGGUGUAACGGUGAAAUGCGUAGAGAUCUGGAGGAAUACCGGUGGCGAAGGCGGCCCCCUGGACAAAGCCUGACGCUCAGGUGCGAAAGCGUGGGGAGCAAACAGG
rnacentral:rRNA from 1 species